rnacentral:lncRNA from 1 species
UUGAAUUAGAGGAUCAUGAGAAGAAGUUUGUGCUGAAUGGACAAGGAUUGAGGCAUUACCAUAUGGGUGGACUCAAAGUGGCUACAGUUGAGUUGCUUUGAUUAAAGGACCCAAAAUAAUAAUAAAUUAAUAGUGUGCCAACACUAUAAUUAAGGCAUUUCUUGGGAGGCAAUCCUAGGUUUAUUUUGGUAGUUUCGUAGUGUUUUGGCUUCAAAUUUUAACUUAUUUUGGGUGUUUGCAG